rnacentral:rRNA from 1 species
UACGUAGGGGGCAAGCGUUGUCCGGAUUUAUUGGGCGUAAAGAGCGUGUAGGCGGCCAAGCAGGUCCGCUGUGAAAACUCGAGGCUCAACCUCGAGACGUCGGUGGAAACCGUUUGGCUAGAGUCCGGAAGAGGAGAGUGGAAUUCCCGGUGUAGCGGUGAAAUGCGCAGAUAUCGGGAAGAACACCAACGGCGAAGGCAGCUCGCUGGGACGGUACUGACGCUGAGACGCGAAAGCGUGGGGAGCGAACAGG